GGCUCUCAUGCUUAUUGCACCACAUGUGUUUUUCUUUGAAACAAACUUGCUUUGGCGGUGGGCCCAGCCUGCCGCCAGAGGUCUAAACUUACAACCAAUUUUUUAUCAACUUGUCACACCAGAUUAUUACUAAUAGUCAAAACUUUCAACAACGGAUCUCUUGGUUCUCGCAUCGAUGAAGAACGCAGCGAAAUGCGAUACGUAAUAUGAAUUGCAGAUAUUCGUGAAUCAUCGAAUCUUUGAACGCACAUUGCGCCCUCUGGUAUUCCGGAGGGCAUGCCUGUUUGAGCGUCGUUUCUCCCUCAAACCGCUGGGUUUGGUGUUGAGCAAUACGACUUGGGUUUGCUUGAAAGACGGUAGUGGUAAGGCGGGAUCGCUUUGACAAUGGCUUAGGUCUAACCAAAAACAUUGCUUGCGGCGGCAACGUCUACCACGUAUAUCUUCAAACUUUGACCUCAAAUCAGGUAGGACUACCCGCUGAACUUAAGCAUAUCAAAAGCCGGAGGAA
rnacentral:rRNA from 1 species